GAGAGAGGAAGGACGGCUGCCGGGUCUUAUGGCCUGAGGAAAGUCUCCCCACCAUUUAAACACACGAGUGCCUGUAAAGGGCACCGGGCGAGAGUCCGGGCAGUUGCGUUGCAACUCAUGCAGUUUUUCUGCGUGCUGGCACAGAAACGAUACCGUACCAUGUUAAUGCUGUGAUGCUGAGAGGCUGAGGUCGCAUGGAUUGCGGAUGGAACGGCGAAUCCUCGUGGGUGCAAGUCGAAAAGGAUUGAUCUUUGAUCAUCCGGGUUUAUGACGCUUAGCCGAAUGCCGUCAAUGCAACUCUUCGGAGCGCAUCUCCUGCCAGGCAGAUAGAUGUAUUGCAUUAACAGAAGGGAGCUUACUCUCCUCACUC
rfam:Methanolobus sp. T82-4 scaffold_14, whole genome shotgun sequence.